CGAGUGGGAGUGCGUGCACCAGUGCUAGCCUCGAGCCGUCUUACGUACUACGUGCACUUGGGGUUGAUGAGGAUAUGGCACAUACUUCUAUUAGGUUUGGUAUUGGGAGGUUUACGACUGAGGCGGAGAUUGAUAGGGCAGUCGAGCUUACUGUGAGGCAGGUUGAGAAGCUGAGGGAGAUGAGCCCGUUGUAUGAGCUCGUUAAGGAAGGGGUCGACAUCAAGACGAUUCAGUGGUCACAGCACUGAAUGUGCGAGUUAAAGAGUAGCGGUUGGAGAGGAGAAGCUACUUAUUGUAGGUGUGUAUCAUUCUACUCGCCGGGUUUUAUAGAAUUG
rnacentral:misc_RNA from 1 species